CUGGCCAUUGCCGGGCAGCAGAUCGCAGGUCAGACUAUCGUGGUGUGAGGCGGCUGCGCAUCAGAGGUUCACAUGACGGCUGCGCAUCAGAGGUUCACGGCCCAACGCCCCCCGACCAGAGCAGAACCGCCGCUUCGGGCUGCAUGGCAGAGGAUUGAGCAGUGAGGCUGCAUGUGCAUGUUCUAUACACCAAAACUGCUUUAUUAAGCUAAAGUUGUUCAGGUGACUAUAGUGUCCCUUUAGGUAAAUAGCCU